rnacentral:ncRNA from 14 species
CAAGUCUGGUGAACCACCGCACAAGAGGAACAAAAGCCCCUCUUGCCUGCACUCACAGCCCUCUUUAAACAAAAAUCACGCCAGAUGUCGUUGCCAGGGUCUUCUCAGACUGGACGGGCUCUUGUGCGGGACCACUGUCCCCAUUCACCUAAAUGCUACUCAGUCUGAUAUGGACGUCGCGCACGGCAAAAGAUGGGAUAUUGAGCUCCCAUCAUACACUUCUAAAUUGUCGGGAACGACCUGGAAGGGACUUGCGUUCCUUCCAAAAGGCUUUGGUUACCGCGGUCCGCCGAGAGGUGAGAGCGAGCAAUCGUUCAGGACGCAGCAGUGUACAUAACGGUGCAUGGAUGGUAAAAACGCCAGAGUAGGGUUAAUCCGCAGGGAAGCGCGAGCAUGUGGGCGGGGACACCUGUUUUGUUGGUGGCUCUGUCACGUGAAGGCGAACCUUCAGAGACUGUAAUGAAGUGGGCGCAAGCUUAAGGGACAGUCCAAUCCACGGGGAGACCCGGUCCACAGGCAUAGAGGGGUUUGCUCACCCUUGAGGACUGUGGAGAGUGACACACAUCACUCGGUAUCAAUGGCCAGCAGCCGCGGUAAUUCCAGCU